rnacentral:misc_RNA from 1 species
GGAAGUAAAAGUCGUAAACAAGGUUUCCGUAGGUGAACCUGCGGAAGGAUCAUUAGUGAACGCCCUCACGGGCUUAUAACUAUUCCAAACCUCUGUGAACCGUGCCCUUCGGGGCUAUUUUACAAACAUGGUGUAAUGAACGUCAUAUAUCAUAACAAAACAAAACUUUCAACAACGGAUCUCUUGGCUCUC